AAGAUGCCAAGAAGACAACUAAUGUGCCAGGAGGUGAAGGUACUUAGCCACCUAGCAUUGGAUGUGAGGAGGACUUUGAGUGUCAUGGAACAUACAUGGCUGUUAGUAGUAUUUUGGACCAACCAACUUCAAUCAUUUCUUGAAUCUUAUGUGUGUUCUAGACCAUUUGGUGCUUCAAGUGUUUUGGAGUAGAAACUUUGUGCUCAGGUAUGUGAUUUGUGUGUUUUGGACCAUUGUUUGAAUUAGUUGAGACUAGCAAUUAGUGGCCCUUUUUAGGUGACUUGUGUGUUUUGGAUGGUCAAACUAUGCUUGUGAACCUGUGUGAAUAUAUAUUUAUGUAUGUUUGCGAACCUAUCAUCGUUGUCGUCCAAUAUGUGUUCAUCUU